UACGUAGGCAGCAAGCGUUGUUCGGAGUUACUGGGCGUAAAGGGUGCGUAGGCGGUCCUAUAAGUAUGGUGUGAAAUCUCCCGGCUUAACUGGGAGGGUGCGCUAUAGACUGUGGGACUAGAGUGUGGGAGAGGAAAGUGGAAUUCCUGGUGUAGCGGUGAAAUGCGUAGAUAUCAGGAGGAACACCGGCGGUGUAAACGGCUUUCUGGACCAUAAACUGACGCUGAGGCACGAAAAGCGUGGGUAGCAAAACAGG
rnacentral:rRNA from 1 species